rnacentral:rRNA from 1 species
GUAGGGAGCGAGCGUUGUCCGGAUUCAUUGGGCGUAAAGCGCGCGUAGGCGGCCUCGCAAGUCGGUUGUGAAAUCCCGGUGGCUCAACCCCGGGACUGCGUCCGAUACUGCGAGGCUGGAGGUAGGUAGGGGAGAUCGGAAUUCCUGGUGUAGCGGUGAAAUGCGCAGAUAUCAGGAGGAACACCGGUGGCGAAGGCGGAUCUCUGGGCCUUACCUGACGCUGAGGCGCGAAAGCUAGGGGAGCGAACAGGAUUAGAUACCCUGGUAGUCCUAGCCGUAAACGUUGGGUGCUAGGUGUGGGCGGAUAUCGACCCCGUCCGUGCCGAAGCUAACGCAUUAAGCACCCCGCCUGGGGAGUACGGCCGCAAGGCUAAA